rnacentral:rRNA from 1 species
GACGUAGGGCGCGAGCGUUGUCCGGAUUUAUUGGGCGUAAAGAGCUCGUAGGCGGUUUGUUGCGUCGGCUGUGAAAUCCCGAGGCUCAACCUCGGGUCUGCAGUCGAUACGAGCAAACUAGAGUGUUGCAGGGGAGACUGGAAUUCCUGGUGUAGCGGUGAAAUGCGCAGAUAUCAGGAGGAACACCGGUGGCGAAGGCGGGUCUCUGGGCAACAACUGACGCUGGAGGCGCGAAAGCGUGGGGAGCAAACAGG